GCCCAGGUGGCUCAGUCGGUGAAGCGUCUGACUUCAGCUCAGGUCAUGAUCUCACAGUUUGUGGGUUCAAGCCCCAUGUUGGGCU
rnacentral:tRNA from 1 species